rnacentral:telomerase_RNA from 1 species
ACGCAAUUAGCGGGUUUACGAGGGGGCAUAAAAGUACUUAGAAGGUACAGAUUUUGUCCGUGGUACUCCUAACCUAACCCUCCUGUCUUUAAUUAGAAUAAUAAUAGAAUUUUACUGUUCUAUUAUACAACUGGUUUGUUCGCCCUACUUCCAGUCAAAAACACGAAAGGGUAUUCUCGUAUAACCCCUUCUUU